CUACGUGCCAGCAGCCGCGGUAAUACGUAGGUCCCGAGCGUUGUCCGGAUUUAUUGGGCGUAAAGCGAGCGCAGGCGGUUAGAUAAGUCUGAAGUUAAAGGCUGUGGCUUAACCAUAGUACGCUUUGGAAACUGUUUAACUUGAGUGCAAGAGGGGAGAGUGGAAUUCCAUGUGUAGCGGUGAAAUGCGUAGAUAUAUGGAGGAACACCGGUGGCGAAAGCGGCUCUCUGGCUUGUAACUGACGCUGAGGCUCGAAAGCGUGGGGAGCAAACAGGAUUAGAUACCCUGGUAGUCCACGCCGUAAACGAUGAGUGCUAGGUGUUAGACCCUUUCCGGGGUUUAGUGCCGCAGCUAACGCAUUAAGCACUCCGCCUGGGGAGUACGACCGCAAGGUUGAAACUCAAAGGAAUUGACGGGGGCCCGCACAAGCGGUGGAGCGUGUGGUUUAAUUCGAAGCAACGCGAAGAACCUUACCAGGUCUUGACAUCC
rnacentral:rRNA from 1 species